UAUUGCGCACUGCGUCCUCGCGGCCCCGCGCUGCGCAUGCGCAAGAUUCUGCUGACUCUGGACCUCUCAGACUCCGGAGUAGGGGGAGGGGGGACCCUUAAAGGGCCACCCCACCUUCCCCCACCCCUACGCCUUGCCACUCAACCAAGGCCUACCAGUAUCGAGUUAGCAACAGAAAGUAGAUGCAGGGUAAAAGGAAAGUUUCAUUCCAUGACAAAGCCUGAAGUGGAAGAUUAUUGUAUUGGGGUUCUCCGGCUUGAAGGCAUUGACUGGUGUAUCCCUGCUUCUGUUUUUGAUGCUACAUAGUUAAAGCCAUCACCACCGAGCACACAGCAAUUUAACAUGCCCAGAUGAUCCAGCCUGCAGCUCAGACCCUAUCUAACAGUGGAAUGUAUUUGAUCUCCUAGCUUGAAGAUUUAAGUAACAACUCAGAGAUAGCAGGAUCCACUGUGGAUGUGAUCUUGUUGCAUGUGAAAAUGGACUUAUUCAGUCUCUGAGGAGUCACGAAUGGUGCAAACAUUGGUGAACAUCCCCAUUUCUGACCUUAUGAUGGAGGGAAGGUCAUUGAUGAAGCAGCUGAAGAUGGUUGGGCCUAGGAAACGACCCUGAGGAAUUCCUGCAGAGAUGUCCUGGAGCUGAGAUAAGUGACCUCCAAAAACCACAACUAUCUUCCUUUGUGCCAGGUAUGACUCCAAUCAGCAGAGAGCUUUCCCCCAAUGUCCAUUGAUUCCAGUUUUGCUGGGGCUCCUGAUGCCGCAUUUAGUCAAAUGCAGCCUUGAUGUCAAGGGCAGACACUCUCGACUCACCUCUGGAAUUCAGCUCUUUCUUUUCCAUGUAUGACUGAAGACUGUAAUGAGGUCAGGAGCUGAGUGGCCCUGGCAGAACCCAAACUGGGCAUCACUGAGCAGGUUAUUGCUGAGCAGGUGCUGCUUGAUAGCACUGUUGAUGACACCUUCCAUCCUGAUGAUCGAGAGUAAACUGAUGGGGCGGUAAUUGGCUGGAUUGGAUUGGAGAUGUCCUUAAACCUGGCGCCAGAUAGACAACACAGCCAUUGAGUUUCAGGCCCUCAGCUGCAGAAAACAUCAUUUACACUCCCUAACCAUACUGCUCCCUACGCACCUGCAUAUCUUUUACUGGAAUGGCACCAUGCACCACGGUGUGGUAGUCAGUUUUCUUGUCCUUCCCAAAGUCCUGGCUCUGGUCCAUGCAAGCUGCAAAAACCCUGGACAUUUUGAACAGUUGCCAAGACCAAAGCUCCUCCAGUUGCUACGUUCUAGAUCCCCAUACUUGCCUCAUUUAUUGUCACACACCCUGGGCCGUGACCGCUGACCAGAUCAGAAGUAUCUAGCCCAAGAGGUAUAACUGCUUCCUUCAGCAAGGUGUCCAGGCAUUUUUCCUUGUCCCUGAUGCAUAACAGUGUGCUGUGCACAUUCUUCAGCUCAUCAACUUAGAAUCUGAUUUCCUCAUGUUGCAGAUACUAUAUGCGUGAUGAAUAUUUGAUGUUUCUCCUUGUAUUGGUAGUCUUGCAAAUUGUCCUGAUGAGUGCAAGACUGAAAAGCUUUGACAAAAUAUGCCUGUUUCUCAGCAAUUUUCUGUAUUGCAAAACAAUAAUUAAAAUAAUGCUCCCUCUGUUUUCCUUCA